AUAACGUAGGGGGCUAAGCGUUGUCCGGAUUUAUUGGGCGUAAAGGGCGUGUAGGCGGUAGAUUAAGUCAGAUGUGAAAGUUAGGGGCUCAACCCCGAAAUAGCAUUUGAAACUGGGAAACUUGAGUGCAGGAGAGGAAAGUGGAAUUCCUAGUGUAGCGGUGAAAUGCGUAGAUAUUAGGAGGAACACCAGUAGCGAAGGCGGCUUUCUGGACUGUAACUGACACUGAGGCACGAAAGCGUGGGGAGC
rnacentral:rRNA from 1 species